GAUGAACGCUGGCGGCGUGCCUAAUACAUGCAAGUCGAGCGAACAGAUGAGGAGCUUGCUCCUCUGACGUUAGCGGCGGACGGGUGAGUAACACGUGGAUAACCUACCUAUAAGACUGGGAUAACUUCGGGAAACCGGAGCUAAUACCGGAUCAUAUAUUGAACCGCAUGGUUCAAUAGUGAAAGACGGUUUUGCUGUCACUUAUAGAUGGAUCCGUGCCGCAUUAGCUAGUUGGUAAGGUAACGGCUUACCAAGGCAACGAUGCGUAGCCGACCUGAGAGGGUGAUCAGCCACACUGGAACUGAGACACGGUCCAGACUCCUACGGGAGGCAGCAGUAGGGAAUCUUCCGCAAUGGGCGAAAGCCUGACGGAGCAACGCCGCGUGAGUGAUGAAGGUCUUCGGAUCGUAAAACUCUGUUAUUAGGGAAGAAAAAAUGUGUAAGUAACUAUGCACGUCUUGACGGUACCUAAUCAGAAAGCCACGGCUAACUACGUG
rnacentral:rRNA from 1 species